rnacentral:rRNA from 1 species
GUGGGGAAUCUUAGACAAUGGGGGCAACCCUGAUCUAGCCAUGCCGCGUGAGUGAUGAAGGCCUUAGGGUCGUAAAGCUCUUUCGCCGGGGAAGAUAAUGACUGUACCCGGUAAAGAAACCCCGGCUAACUCCGUGCCAGCAGCCGCGGUAAUACGGAGGGGGUUAGCGUUGUUCGGAAUUACUGGGCGUAAAGCGCGCGUAGGCGGAUCGGAAAGUUGGGGGUGAAAUCCCGGGGCUCAACCCCGGAAUUGCCUUCAAAACUCCCGGUCUUGAGGUCGAGAGAGGUGAGUGGAAUUCCGAGUGUAGAGGUGAAAUUCGUAGAUAUUCGGAGGAACACCAGUGGCGAAGGCGGCUCACUGGCUCGAUACUGACGCUGAGGUGCGAAAGCGUGGGGAGCAAACAGGAUUAGAUACCCGGGUAGUCC